rnacentral:lncRNA from 1 species
UUCUUAAGAACUACGAGGGUGCCUUUCCGAUGCAACAGGAAAACGUGAUGCAACUCCGCAAACCAGGUCACCACUUUGUGGCGAAGGAAGCUAUUCUUUUUCUGAGUAAAACAUAUCACUGUGCAGUGAUUAAGGUGACACCUAGCCUGCGUGGGCACCUAUCCUAUUAUGACCUCCGUGUUUGGAAUUCCAUGGUUCGGCGAGGCCCUCACGAAAAAUGCGCUACACGAUUCAGGAAGCUGGCGCCAAACGGACACGUCAUUUAUGAGCAGAGGUGCCAGGGCAUUCUGCACAAUAACGGCUCUUCUAUUUCAGAAAGAAAAAGCACGAAUAACUGAAAGAACAGGGCCAUUUCAAUAACUUUAUUGAUGUAGUGGCAUCAAAAUAUAGAACAAAUAAACGAAGACCAUGGCAGCACUGUUUUAUGCGAAGAAAUAAAAUUCGGUGCA